CCUACGGGAGGCAGCAGUGGGGAAUAUUGCACAAUGGGGGAAACCCUGAUGCAGCGACGCCGCGUGAAGGAAGAAGUAUUUCGGUAUGUAAACUUCUAUCAGCAGGGAAGAAAAUGACGGUACCUGACUAAGAAGCCCCGGCUAACUACGUGCCAGCAGCCGCGGUAAUACGUAGGGGGCAAGCGUUAUCCGGAUUUACUGGGUGUAAAGGGAGCGUAGGCGGUUUAGCAAGUCAGAAGUGAAAGCUCGGGGCUCAACCUCCGAAUUGCAUUUGAAACUGUUUUUCUUGAGUACUGGAGAGGCAGACGGAAUUCCUUGUGUAGCGGUGAAAUGCGUAGAUAUAAGGAGGAACACCAGUGGCGAAGGCAGUCUGCUGGACAGCAACUGACGGUGAGGCGCGAAAGCGUGGGGAGCAAACAGGAUUAGAUACCCCAGUAGUC
rnacentral:rRNA from 1 species